UACAUAUACAUGGAUGAGGGGGCAUUUUUCUUUUGUUUGUUGCGUGCGGGGGUGCAGGAGAGCGGGGCGGGCGUGCUGGAGCUGGAGAGGGACGAGGAGGAGGGGGCGGCAAGCGGGAGAGGGCAAGGAGCGGCGAGGAGGGCUCGGAGGGCGGCGAGGAGGUAAGGAGGACUCGGCGGGCGGUGCGGGAAGCGGCGUCCUAGGGGAAGCAGCGCCCUUGGCGGCAGCUCGGGCAGGCAGCGCGGGCUCGGCGGCGGCCUCGGCGGGAAGCGGCGCCGAGCGUCCAGCGGCUCGGCGGCGGGGCCUCGGCGGGAAGCGGCACCAGGCGUCCAGUGGCUCGGCGGCGGGGGCGGGAAGCUGCGUCGGGCGUCCAAGGGGUCGGCGGUUGCGUGCGGGGGUGCAGGAGGGCGGCGGGGCCUCGGCGUUGCGCUGCCCGGGUUGGGCCUCUAGGUGUUGUGACCGCCCGACUCGGCCGCCCCGAAGGGCCGCCCCAAGCACAAGCCCUGCCGGCGCAGCCGCAUGGUCCACCUCCCGUACCGCUCCGUCCCGCCCGCGCCCGGGUCGUAGACCCUGCGGAAGCGUCGGUAUGGCCCCUGCUAGCGGCCGUUACCGUGGCGGCUGCACUGCCAGCUGCUCAUGGUAUCCAUGUUCCUCCUACACUCGUAUUACUUCCUUUACCCGAAGCUGCGCAUGGCCAAGAGCUAGAGGACCAGCUUAUAAAUGGGUCUACCCUGACCCUUCCACUUGGUCCUUCCUCACCUGAUGAUGUCGUCCGAGUAUCUAAUGUACGAGGUCGUUCUACUCGUGAACAAGUGGAAACAACAUCGCGUCUCUGAACAAGGUCUAUAAAUUUACAGAAAAAUGCAUAGGAAACAAACAAGAGUUAAACCUACGAAAGUACGUCUAGUUCAAUAAUAACUCCUGUUUUACUUCCCCACGUAACGUUAGAUCUAAACUGAUUUACACACCGUCUAGACAACUGUUUGUGUAAAUGUAAAUUCAUACACAUCAUACGAAGUACAUUAAUUGGUGUUGUAAACAAAGCAGUUAAUAAAGGAAAAGUAAGUCACUUACAGGAAAACAAUUUUUCGCGCUCAGCUUACACAUUCAUGCCUUUUCCAAGAGGGUAACCCAACGGUGAUGUUGCUUUAUUGGUACAUUUACUGACAAUUUGUAUGAGAUAAAAACAUUAAGUUUCCGUUACAAAGACGGCUAGAGCUUUC
rnacentral:rRNA from 1 species